UCUCAAAGAUUAAGCCAUGCAUGUCUAGGUACGAGCCUCCGUACAAAGCGAAACUGCGAAUGGCUCAUUAAAUCAGUUAUGGUUCCUUUGAUCGUUACCCMUUACUCGGAUAACUGUGGUAAUUCUAGAGCUAAUACGUGCGAAUGAGCGCCGACCUCGCGGGAGGCGUGCUUUUAUUAGGACCAAGACCAAUMCGGGYCUUCSUGGCCCGGUCCCAMUGGCGAAUUCUGGAUAACUUGGCGGAUCGCACGGCCUYKGCGCCGGCGAUSAGUCUUUCGAGUGUCUGCCCUAUCAACUUUCGAUGGUACGUUAUGCGCCUACCAUGGUUGUAACGGGUAACGGGGAAUCRGGUUCGAUUCCGGAAGGGAGCCUGAAAA
rnacentral:rRNA from 1 species